AAGCGUGCGCAGGCGGUUUUGUAAGACUGUCGUGAAAUCCCCGGGCUCAACCUGGGAAUGGCGAUGGUGACUGCAAGGCUAGAGUUUGGCAGAGGGGGGUAGAAUUCCACGUGUAGCAGUGAAAUGCGUAGAUAUGUGGAGGAACACCGAUGGCGAAGGCACGCCCCCUGGGUCAAAACUGACGCUCAUGCACGAAAGCGUGGGGAGCAAACAGGAUUAGAUACCCGUGU
rnacentral:rRNA from 1 species